rnacentral:rRNA from 1 species
GAUGAACGCUGGCGGCGUGCCUAACACAUGCAAGUCGAGCGAUUCUCUUCGGAGAAGAGCGGCGGACGGGUGAGUAACGCGUGGGUAACCUGCCCUGUACACACGGAUAACAUACCGAAAGGUAUGCUAAUACGAGAUAAUAUGCUUUUAUCGCAUGGGAGAAGUAUCAAAGCUUUUGCGGUACAGGAUGGACCCGCGUCUGAUUAGCUAGUUGGUAAGGUAACGGCUUACCAAGGCGACGAUCAGUAGCCGACCUGAGAGGGUGAUCGGCCACAUUGGAACUGAGACACGGUCCAAACUCCUACGGGAGGCAGCAGUGGGGAAUAUUGCACAAUGGGCGAAAGCCUGAUGCAGCAACGCCGCGUGAGCGAUGAAGGCCUUCGGGUCGUAAAGUUCUGUCCUCAAGGAAGAUAAUGACGGUACUUGAGGAGGAAGCCCCGGCUAACUACGUG